NNNNNCUAGUAACGGCGAGCGAACCGGGAGCAGCCCAGCUUGAGAAUCGGGCGGCUGUGUCGUCCGAAUUGUAGUCUGGAGAGGCGUCCUCAGCGACGGACCGGGCCCAAGUCCCCUGGAAAGGGGCGCCUGGCAGGGUGAGAGCCCCGUCCGGCCCGGACCCUGUCGCCCCACGAGGCGCCGUCAACGAGUCGGGUUGUUUGGGAAUGCAGCCCAAAUCGGGCGGUAGACUCUGUCCAAGGCUAAAUACAGGCGAGAGACCGAUAGCGAACAAGUACCGUGAGGGAAAGAUGAAAAGGACUUUGAAAAGAGAGUCAAAGAGUGCUUGAAAUUGCCGGGAGGGAAGCGGAUGGGGGCCGGCGAUGCGCCCCGGCCGUAUGCGGAACGGCUCUUGCUGGUCCGCCGCUCGGCUCGGGGUGUGGACUGUUGUCGG
rnacentral:ncRNA from 1 species